rnacentral:rRNA from 1 species
GACGAACGCUGGCGGCGUGCUUAACACAUGCAAGUCGAACGAUGAAGAAGAGAAACGCGAACUUCGGUUCAAAUUUCGCUUCGGAUUAGUGGCAGACGGGUGAGUAACGCGUGAGCAACCUACCUCUUACAAAGGGAUAGCCUCGGGAAACCGUGAUUAAUACCAUAUGACACAUUCAUAAGGCAUCUUAAGAAUGUUAAAGCUACGGCGGUAAGAGAUGGGCUCGCGUCCCAUUAGCUAGUUGGUGAGGUAACGGCCCACCAAGGCGACGAUGGGUAACCGGCCUGAGAGGGUGAACGGUCACAUUGGAACUGAGACACGGUCCAAACUCCUACGGGAGGCAGCAGUGGGGAAUAUUGCACAAUGGAGGGAACUCUGAUGCAGCGACGCCGCGUGAGCGAUGAAGGAAUUCGUUUCGUAAAGCUCUGUUCUAUGGGAAGAAAAGGACUGUACCAUAGGAGAAAGCCCCGGCUAAAUACGUG